UACGUAGGGGGCAAGCGUUGUCCGGAUUUAUUGGGCGUAAAGAGCGUGUAGGCGGUCAGGUAGGUCGGUUGUGAAAACUGGAGGCUCAACCUUCAGAGGUCGACCGAAACCCCCUGGCUAGAGUCCGGGAGAGGAGAGUGGAAUUCCUGGUGUAGCGGUGAAAUGCGCAGAUAUCAGGAAGAACACCCGUGGCUAAGGCGGUUCUCUAGUACGGUACUGACGCUGAGACGCGAAAGCGUGGGGAGCGAACAGG
rnacentral:rRNA from 1 species